GGGGAGGUGCCAGAGUGGCUGAAUGGGCUCGCCUGCUAAGUGAGUGCCGGCUUUAAAACCGGUCGCGGGUUCGAAUCCCGCCCUCCCCGCCA
rnacentral:tRNA from 1 species